rnacentral:rRNA from 1 species
GGAUCUCUUGGCUCUCGCAUCGAUGAAGAACGCAGCGAAAUGCGAUAAGUAAUGUGAAUUGCAGAAUUCAGUGAAUCAUCGAAUCUUUGAACGCACCUUGCACUCCUUGGUAUUCCGAGGAGUAUGCCUGUUUGAGUGUCAUUA